UUUGGGUGAGCCUGAUUCGACUUGUGGGUUUUCCUGUGCUUCUGUUGACGCAGAAGGAAGAGUUUUGACCUUUUGCCCAGCUGUUAUGCCGCAGCUUUCAGAUAGAAAUUCAUUGUUGCUGAGUUUAACAACUCCUGAAGAAGGGGAUUUUCUCCCUGAAACAGGGUCAAAAAUACCCAGGACCCCUGUAGACUUGGGACUUUAUUUGGACUUUACUUUCGAAGACUUUUUUGAGAGCGGUGCUCCAUCAUUAUUUUCUUCAUUCCAGUAUACAGCAACACGACCAAUCAUCUGUUUGGAAGAUAUUUUCAUUGACUGUAUCCCUGAAGCCUAUAUACAUUGGAACCAAUACCAGACUUGAAUAACUUUUAUGUUAGAGCUGUUGCUCCUUUUAAUUUUGUCGGGUACGGCCAAAUUGAGCUUUGUACGGGGAACUGUAACAAUAUAUGUCAUUUGGACACA